rnacentral:rRNA from 1 species
CCUGAUUCAGCGACGCCGCGUGGGGGACGAAGGCCUUCGGGUUGUAAACCUCUUUUCCGAGGGAAGAUAGAGGACGGUACCUGAAUAAUCAGCCCCGGAUAACUACUUGCCAGAAGCCGCGGUAAUACUUGGGGGGCCACCGUUACCCGAAAUUGCUGGGCAUAAAGUGCUCGUAGGCUGGUGGAUUAUUCUGUUGUGAAACCUCCCGGCUCAGCUGGAAGAGAUCGCCGGAUACUAUUCUACUUGAGGACAUCAGAAGUAAGCAGACUUCCUGUUGUAGAGGUGUGAUGAAUUCCUAGCGGGAGGAACACCAGUGGCGAAAGCGGCUUGAUGUGCUGUUGCUGACGCUGAGUCCCGGAAUCGUGAGGAACCAACAGGAUUAAAUCCCC